GGAAUCUUGCGCAAUGGGCGAAAGCCUGACGCAGCAACGCCGCGUGCGGGAUGAAGGCCUUCGGGCUGUAAACCGCUUUCAGCAGGAACGAAAAUGACGGUACCUGCAGAAGAAGGAGCGGCCAACUACGUGCCAGCAGCCGCGGUGACACGUAGGCUCCAAGCGUUGUCCGGAUUUAUUGGGCGUAAAGAGCUCGUAGGCGGUUGAGUAAGUCGGGUGUGAAAACUCUGGGCUUAACCCGGAGACGCCAUCCGAUACUGCUCUGACUAGAGUUCAGGAGGGGAGUGGGGAAUUCCUAGUGUAGCGGUGAAAUGCGCAGAUAUUAGGAGGAACACCGGUGGCGAAGGCGCCACUCUGGACUGAAACUGACGCUGAGGAGCGAAGGCAUGGGUAGCAAACAGGAUUAGAUACCCUGGUAGUCCAUGCCGUAAACGGUGGGCACUAGGUGUGGGUUCCAACUAACGGGAUCCGCGCCGUCGCUAACGCAUUAAGUGCCCCGCCUGGGGAGUACGGUCGCAAGACUAAAACUCAAAGGAAUUGACGG
rnacentral:rRNA from 1 species